UACGUAGGGUGCAAGCGUUGUCCGGAAUUAUUGGGCGUAAAGAGCUCGUAGGCGGUUUGUCGCGUCUGCUGUGAAAACUCGGGGCUUAACUCUGGGCCUGCAGUGGGUACGGGCAGACUAGAGUGCGGUAGGGGAGACUGGAAUUCCUGGUGUAGCGGUGAAAUGCGCAGAUAUCAGGAGGAACACCAAUGGCGAAGGCAGCUCGCUGGAACGGUACUGACGCUGAGGCGCGAAAGCGUGGGGAGCAAACAGG
rnacentral:rRNA from 1 species